rnacentral:rRNA from 1 species
UACGGAGGAUCCGAGCGUUAUCCGGAUUUAUUGGGUUUAAAGGGUGCGCAGGCGGGGGAUUAAGUCGGCGGUGAAAUUUUGCAGCUCAACUGUAAAAGUGCCUUCGAAACUGGUUUCCUUGAGUGUAGAUGAAGUAGGCGGAAUUUGUGGUGUAGCGGUGAAAUGCAUAGAUAUCACGAGGAACUCCGAUUGCGCAGGCAGCUUACCAAACUACUACUGACGCUCAUGCACGAAGGCGUGGGGAUCAAACAGGAUUAGAUACCCGUGUA